rnacentral:rRNA from 1 species
AUUGAACGCUGGCGGCAUGCCUUACACAUGCAAGUCGAACGGCAGCACGGGUGCUUGCACCUGGUGGCGAGUGGCAAACGGGUGAGUAAUACAUCGGAACGUACCUUAUCGUGGGGGAUAACGCAGCGAAAGCUGUGCUAAUACCGCAUACGCCCUGAGGGGGAAAGCGGGGGAUCGCAAGACCUCGCGCGAUUAGAGCGGCCGAUGCCUGAUUAGCUUGUUGGUGUGGUAAAAGCCCACCAAGGCGACGAUCAGUAGCUGGUCUGAGAGGACGAUCAGCCACACUGGAACUGGGACACGGCCCAGACUCCUACGGGAGGCAGCAGUGGGGAAUUUUGGACAAUGGGGGCAACCCUGAUCCAGCAAUGCCGCGUGAGUGAAGAAGGCCUUCGGGUUGUAAAGCUCUUUUGUCAGGGAAGAAACACCGGCUCUAACACAGUCCGGGAAUGACGGUACCUGAAGAAUAAGCACCGGCUAACUACGUGCCAGCCGCCGCGGUAA